rnacentral:rRNA from 1 species
GAUGAACGCUAGCUACAGGCUUAACACAUGCAAGUCGAGGGACGGGCGCACGGGUGAGAUACACGUAUCCCACCUGCCCUUUACUCGAGGAUAGCCUUUCGAAAGAAAGAUUAAUACACGAUGUAAAGGAUGGGGAUGCGUUCCAUUAGGUUGUUGGUGAGGUAACGGCACACCAAGCCUUCGAUGGAUGGGGGUUCUGAGAGGAAGGCCCCCCACAUCGGAACUGAGGCACAGUCCAAUCUCCUACGUGAGGGAGCAGUGAGUAAUAUUAGUGAAGGGGCGUUAGCCUGACCCAGCCACGUAGCGUGAAGGAGGAAGGCUUAUGGGUGGUAAACUUCUUUUAUAUAAGAAGAUGUAUUAUAUGAAUAAGGAUCGGCUAACUCCGUGCCAGCAGCCGCGGUAAUAC